rnacentral:lncRNA from 1 species
UCAACUCAUAUAACUUAUGUUGCUCGGAUUCUUCAAUAAUGUUGUCUAACCCGUGUUAGAUCCUUCAAAAGAUGUACUGCUUUUGAAGAAUUCGACAUGCACCUGGCAACAUCUUUCAAAAAAUGUACUGCUUUUGAAGGAUCCGACAUGCACCUGGCGAUAUCUUUAAAGAGUCUGAGCAACAUAGCAUAUAACACUGGAGAUAUG